rnacentral:rRNA from 1 species
UACGGAGGGGGCAAGCGUUAUUCGGAAUUAUUGGGCGUAAAGGGCGCGUAGGCGGCUUGGUAAGUCAAAGGUGAAAUCCCUCGGCUCAACUGAGGAAUUGCCUUUGAAACUGCCUGGCUUGAGGCCGGGAGGGGGUAGCGGAAUUCCCAGUGUAGCGGUGAAAUGCGUAGAUACUGGGAGGAACACCAGUGGCGAAGGCGGCUACCUGGACCGGAACUGACGCUGAGGUGCGAAAGCGUGGGGAGCAAACAGG